rnacentral:rRNA from 1 species
UCGCCCAUUAAAGUGGUACGCGAGCUGGGUUCAGAACGUCGUGAGACAGUUCGGUCCCUAUCCGUCGCAGGCGUAGGAAAUUUGAGAAGACCUGUCCUUAGUACGAGAGGACCGGGAUGGACAUACCUCUGGUGUACCAGUUGUCCUGCCAAGGGCAUGGCUGGGUAGCUAUGUACGGAAUGGAUAAGCGCUGAAAGCAUCUAAGCGCGAAGCCAACUUCAAGAUAAGAUUUCCCACCGCAAGGGUAAGACCCCAGAAAGACUAUCUGGUUGAUAGGUCGAAGGUGUAAGUGCAGCAAUGUAUUUAGCUUAUCGAUACUAAUAGGUCGAGGACUUGACCAAU